UUCCUAGGGUUCUUGGAUAAACCCAAGCCCUUGCAAGGGAAGCUCAAGUUAUUGAAGAGUUAAAGUUAAAAGAAAACGAGUUAUAAGAAUUAAGAUAAGUAUUUGAAAAGAAAGGAAGGUACUUCAAGGUAACUACAAGGUGGUACAGCAAGGUAUGUAAGGCUUUUCGAUUUCCUAC